rnacentral:misc_RNA from 1 species
CUGAAAUGUUAUGGUUUCUAUUUAGUA